CAGUCGCCACGGGAAUACGAAGGGGGCUAGCGUUACUCGGAAUUACUGGGCGUAAAGGGCGCGUAGGCGGCGCUCCAAGUUAGGCGUGAAAGUCCUGGGCUCAACCUGGGAACUGCGCUUAAGACUGGAGUGCUUGAGGAUGGAAGAGGGUUGUGGAAUUCCCAGUGUAGAGGUGAAAUUCGUAGAUAUUGGGAAGAACACCGGUGGCGAAGGCGGCAACCUGGUCCAUUACUGACGCUGAGGCGCGACAGCGUGGGGAGCAAACAGGAUUAGAUACCCGUGUAGUCCCUGUCUCUUAUAC
rnacentral:rRNA from 1 species